AGGACGAACGCUGGCGGCGUGCUUAACACAUGCAAGUCGAGCGGAAAGGCUCCUUCGGGGGUACUCGAGCGGCGAACGGGUGAGUAACACGUGAGUAAUCUGCCCUUGGCUUCGGGAUAACUACCGGAAACGGUGGCUAAUACCGGAUAUGACCACUCCUUGCAUGAGGUGGUGGUGGAAAGUUUUUUCGGCCAGGGAUGUGCUCGCGGCCUAUCAGCUUGUUGGUGGGGUAAUGGCCUACCAAGGCUUCGACGGGUAGCCGGCCUGAGAGGGUGACCGGCCACACUGGGACUGAGACACGGCCCAGACUCCUACGGGAGGCAGCAGUGGGGAAUAUUGGACAAUGGGCGGAAGCCUGAUCCAGCAACGCCGCGUGAGGGAUGACGGCCUUCGGGUUGUAAACCUCUUUCAGUACCGACGAAGCGCCGAUGAUGGUGGUGACGGUAGGUACAGAAGAAGCACCGGCCAACUACGUG
rnacentral:rRNA from 1 species